ACAACAGUUGGAAACGACUGCUAAUACCGCAUAAGCCCACGGCUCGGCAUCGAGCAGAGGGAAAAGGAGCAAUCCGCUUUGAGAUGGCCUCGCGUCCGAUUAGCUAGUUGGUGAGGUAACGGCCCACCAAGGCGACGAUCGGUAGCCGGACUGAGAGGUUGAACGGCCACAUUGGGACUGAGACACGGCCCAGACUCCUACGGGAGGCAGCAGUGGGGAAUAUUGCACAAUGGGGGAAACCCUGAUGCAGCGACGCCGCGUGGAGGAAGAAGGUCUUCGGAUUGUAAACUCCUGUUGUUGGGGAAGAUAAUGACGGUACCCAACAAGGAAGUGAUGGCUAACUACGUGCCAGCAGCCGCGGUAAAACGUAGGUCACAAGCGUUGUCCGGAAUUACUGGGUGUAAAGGGAGCGCAGGCGGGAAGACAAGUUGGAAGUGAAAUCUAUGGGCUCAACCCAUAAACUGCUUUCAAAACUGUUUUUCUUGAGUAGUGCAGAGGUAGGCGGAAUUCCCGGUGUAGCGGUGGAAUGCGUAGAUAUCGGGAGGAACACCAGUGGCGAAGGCGGCCUACUGGGCACCAACUGACGCUGAGGCUCGAAAGUGUGGGUAGCAAACAGGAUUAGAUACCCUGGUAGUCCACACCGU
rnacentral:rRNA from 1 species